AGAGUUUGAUCCUGGCUCAGGAUGAACUCUGGCGGCGUGCUUAACACAUGCAAGUCGAACGAGAAUCAGUGGAACAAGGAUUCGUCUGAGGGAAGCUGAGGAAAGUGGCGGACGGGUGAGUAACGCGUGAGCAAUCUGCCUUGGAGUGGGGAAUAACGGCUGGAAACAGCCGCUAAUACCGCAUGAUGCAUCUGAAUCGCAUGGUUUGGAUGCCAAAGAUUUAUCGCUCUGAGAUGAGCUCGCGUCUGAUUAGCUAGUUGGCGGGGUAAUGGCCCACCAAGGCGACGAUCAGUAGCCGGACUGAGAGGUUGGCCGGCCACAUUGGGACUGAGACACGGCCCAGACUCCUACGGGAGGCAGCAGUGGGGAAUAUUGGGCAAUGGGCGCAAGCCUGACCCAGCAACGCCGCGUGAAGGAAGAAGGCUUUCGGGUUGUAAACUUCUUUUAUUCGGGACGAAGAAAGUGACGGUACCGAAUGAAUAAGUCACGGCUAACUACGUGCCAUCAGCCGCGGUAAUACGUAGGCGGCAAGCGUUAUCCGGAAUGAUUGGGCGUAAAGGGUGCGCAGGCGGUCCUGCAAGUCUGGAGUGAAACGCAUGAGCUCAACUCAUGCAUGGCUUUGGAAACUGGAGGACUGGAGAGCAGGAGAGGUCGGUGGAACUCCAUGUGUAGCGGUAAAAUGCGUAGAUAUAUGGAAGAACACCAGUGGCGAAGGCGGCCGCCUGGCCUGUUGCUGACGCUGAGGCACGAAAGCGUGGGGAGCAAAUAGGAUUAGAUACCCUAGUAGUCCACGCCGUAAACGAUGAGGACCAAGUGUUGGGGGUGAAACCUCAGUGCUGAAGUUAACGCAGUGAGUCCUCCGCCUGGGGAGUAUGCACGCAAGUGUGAAACUCAAAGGAAUUGACGGGGGCCCGCACAAGCGGUGGAGUAUGUGGUUUAAUUCGAAGCAACGCGAAGAACCUUACCAGGCCUUGACAUGGGAUGCGAAGAUGCAGAGAUGCAUCGGAGGUCAACAUCCACACAGGUGGUGCAUGGUUGUCGUCAGCUCGUGUCGUGAGAUGUUGGGUCAAGUCCCGCAACGAGCGCAACCCUUGUGGCAUGUUGCUAACAGGAAAAGCUGAGGACUCAUGCCAGACUGCCGGUGACAAACCGGAGGAAGGCGGGGAUGACGUCAAAUCAUCAUGCCCCUUAUGGCCUGGGCUACACACGUACUACAAUGGCGGCUACAAAGAGCAGCGAGACAGGGAUGUCGAGCGAAUCUCAUAAAAGCCGUCCCAGUUCGGAUUGGAGGCUGCAACCCGCCUCCAUGAAGUUGGAAUCGCUAGUAAUCGCGGAUCAGCAUGCCGCGGUGAAUACGUUCCCGGGCCUUGUACACACCGCCCGUCA
rnacentral:rRNA from 1 species